AUUGAACGCUGGCGGCAGGCCUAACACAUGCAAGUCGAGCGAGCGGCGGACGGGUGAGUAAUGUCUGGGUAACUGCCUGAGGGGGGGGGAUAACUACUGGAAACGCUAGCUAAUACCGCAUACCAUCCGGUCUGCCCAGAUGGGAUUAGCUAGUGGGUGGGGUACCGCCUCACCAAGGCGACGAUCCCUAGCUGGUUUGAGAGGAUGACCAGCCACACUGGAAAUGAGACACGGUCCAGACUCCUACGGGAGGCAGCAGUGGGGAAUAUUGGACAAUGGGCGAAAGCCUGAUGCAGCCAUGCCGCGUGUGUGAAGAAGGCCUUCGGGUUGUAAAGCACUUUCAGCGGGGAGGCGGUACCCGCAGAAGAAGCACCGGCUAACUCCGUGCCAGCAGCCGCGGUAAUUC
rnacentral:rRNA from 1 species